CAAUAACGACUCUCGGCAACGGAUAUCUAGGCUCUUGCAUCGAUGAAGAACGUAGCGAAAUGCGAUACUUGGUGUGAAUUGCAGAAUCCCGUGAACCAUCGAGUCUUUGAACGCAAGUUGCGCCCGAAGCCUUCUGGCCGAGGGCACGCCUGCC
rnacentral:rRNA from 1 species